rnacentral:tRNA from 1 species
CGGUCCGUAGCUCAGUUGGUAGAGCAGCUGACUCUUAAUCAGCGGGUCCAGGGUUCGAAUCCCUGCGGACCGACCA